ACCAUUCCUUCGGGAAUGGGGACAGCGGCGAACGGGUGAGUAACACGUGGGUAAUCUGCCCUCGAUUCUGGGAUAGCCCGGGGAAACCCGGAUUAAUACCGGAUAGCCUCCCGAGCUUACGAGCUCGUGAGAAAAGGUAGCUUCGGCCUCCGAUCGAGGAUGAGCCCGCGGCGGAUUAGCUUGUUGGUGGGGUAAUGGCCUACCAAGGCGACGAUCCGUAGCUGGUCUGAGAGGACGAUCAGCCACACUGGGACUGAGACACGGCCCAGACUCCUACGGGAGGCAGCAGUGGGGGAUCUUGCGCAAUGGGCGAAAGCCUGACGCAGCGACGCCGCGUGGGGGAAGAAGGCCUUCGGG
rnacentral:rRNA from 1 species